rnacentral:rRNA from 1 species
UGGGGAAUAUUGCACAAUGGGCGCAAGCCUGAUGCAGCCAUGCCGCGUGUGUGAAGAAGGCCUUCGGGUUGUAAAGCACUUUCAGCGAGGAGGAAGGUGGUGAGCUUAAUACGCUCAUCAAUUGACGUUACUCGCAGAAGAAGCACCGGCUAACUCCGUGCCAGCAGCCGCGGUAAUACGGAGGGUGCAAGCGUUAAUCGGAAUUACUGGGCGUAAAGCGCACGCAGGCGGUUUGUUAAGUCAGAUGUGAAAUCCCCGGGCUCAACCUGGGAACUGCAUUUGAAACUGGCAAGCUAGAGUCUCGUAGAGGGGGGCUAGAAUUCCAAGUGUAGCGGUGAAAUGCGUAGAGAUCUGGAGGAAUACCGGUGGCGAAGGCGGCCCCCCUGGANGAAGACUGACGCUCAGGU